rnacentral:misc_RNA from 1 species
UAUAAGUCAUAGUAUUUAUGAGGGGAAAGCUUGGAAGUCCGCAGCUCAGACAGCAUCUGCGCAGAAUACUUCAAAGCAUCUUUGAGAUUGUUGGAGUCCAGAGAUCGAUGCAUAUAGAACGCAUUCUGCUGGAGGCCCGCGAUCCCAGCAGCAAGCCACUUCUCCUCGUCCUCAACUCCGUCGGAAAUCAUUCUUGUCGCCGUUUUUCGUCCGUGUGUGCACAAUUCUUCCUCUGCAGAUCAGUUGCGAUUCG